UUUUAGAGCAUAUUAGACGCAUUUCUUACAACGAAGUCAAUCAAAAUUUUGCUGCUUGGGUAAUCUCAGGCUAUUUACUAUGUCAAUUUUUGCCUUACUUUUGUUACUUGAACUUUUUUGCGGGUAUGCCGUAGCUCCUUGGGAGUCGCUACAAAUUACACUUCGAGAUUCAGUGGAUAUUUAUGGAAUACAAUGCAAAAGAUUCAGUUAUGCGUACUGUAUUCAUGGCUACUGGUUUUCAUCUAAACAAAGCAAUCGUAAAUCUCAUUGGUCGGAUGUGCCAAAGUUUGCGUCUUUGAUUCAACACAAUGAUGUCUGGAAAAUGAUCAAUUGGUUCUCUUUUAC